AGGUGAUGGCGAUGACGAUGUUGAUGGUGAUGAUAACAAUAUUUGAGAUUCUGGAGAUGAUGAUGAAACAUAUAAUAAUCUCUUAGAUCUCCAAUAUCAUCAUCAACAUCGUCGUCAUCAUUG
rnacentral:pre_miRNA from 1 species